UCAGUGCAAGACACAUGAAAGCCCGCAUGGAGUUGUGAGAUGGUGAGAAAUAAGAUUCUCUGGUCUGAUGAGCCCAAGAUAGAACUUUUCGGCCUUAGUUUUCUAAGUGUCUAAGUGCUAUGUGUGGAGAAAGCCAU